rnacentral:rRNA from 1 species
UGGGGAAUCUUGCGCAAUGGACGAAAGUCUGACGCAGCGACGCCGCGUGGGUGAUGAAGGCCUUCGGGUUGUAAAGCCCUGUGGAGAGGGACGAAUAAGGUGUGCCUAAUACGCACGCAGAUGACGGUACCUCUUUAGCAAGCACCGGCUAACUCUGUGCCAGCAGCCGCGGUAAGACAGAGGGUGCAAACGUUGUUCGGAAUUACUGGGCGUAAAGCGCGUGUAGGCGGCUUGGAUAGUCGGGUGUGAAAGCCCGGGGCUCAACCCCGGAAGUGCACUCGAUACUGCCAAGCUGGAGUCCCGGAGAGGAUGGUGGAACUCUCGGUGUAGAGGUGAAAUUCGUAGAUAUCGAGAAGAACAUCGGUGGCGAAGGCGGCCAUCUGGACGGUGACUGACGCUG